rnacentral:ribozyme from 14 species
UUUUCUUUUCAUUUUUGCUUUAUAUGAAUCAAAAAGUCGAGAGAGAGAAAAAAAAAGAAUUAAAAUCGUUGUG